rnacentral:misc_RNA from 1 species
GGAAUACCCUAAGUACAUCAUGAGCUCUUACAUUUUUAAUAUGUUGUUGAGAAUUAGUUAAAGUUGCAUAUUGUGGCAUGUAUUUUCGACUCAGAGAUUUUUAUUGUAUGUUGUUGCCAAUAAUGUACUUCUCAUAAUUUUUUUUAGUAUUUUAAUUAAUUAUGUAAUUUUCGAGCAUAUUUAAUAUUUAAUAUUUUUCACAAAAGUUAUGUACCAUGAUAAAGGACAUGAAGAGAAGAUUGUGAUCUCGG